rnacentral:tRNA from 1 species
GUUUUUAUAGUGUAAUUAACACGUUACAUUUUCGUUGUAAAGCUGAAAUCUCUUUUUUUCUAAAAACU